CUGCGGAUCGAUAAGUGCACGGCAAUUGCUAGUUUACCGCUGAAUAUCGCCGCCCGGAUCAUUGAGUUCAACGGGUUUGUACCCCUAGGCAUUUUCACGUACUAUUUGACUCUCUAUUCAGAGUGCUUUUUUCAACUUUCCCUCACGGGUACUUGUUCGCUAUCGGACUCAUGGUGGUAUUUAGCUUUAGAAGGAGGAAGCCCUCCCACCU